rnacentral:tRNA from 1 species
CGGGGUGGAGCAGUUCGGUAGCUCGUCGGGCUCAUAACCCGAAGGUCGCAGGUUCAAAUCCUGUCCCCGCAACCA